rnacentral:tRNA from 1 species
UCCCUGAAGAACUAGUGGUUAGGCCACAGCACUCUCACUGCUGUUGCCUGGGUUCGAUUCCCAGCCAGGGAA